UACAGAGGGUGCAAGCGUUAAUCGGAAUUACUGGGCGUAAAGCGUGCGUAGUCGGUUAUCUAAGUCGGGUGUGAAAUCCCCGGGCUCAACCUGGGAAUUGCAUUCGAUACUGGAUAGCUAGAGUUCGGCAGAGGGAAGCGGAAUUUCGGGUGUAGCGGUGAAAUGCGUAGAUAUCCGAAGGAACAUCAGUGGCGAAAGCGGCUUCCUGGACCAGAACUGACGAUCAGGCACGAAAAGCGUGGGGGAGCAAACAGG
rnacentral:rRNA from 1 species